rnacentral:rRNA from 1 species
CCUACGGGGGGCAGCAGUAGGGAAUCUUUCACAAUGGGCGAAAGCCUGAUGGAGCAACGCCGCGUGCAGGAUGAAGGCCUUCGGGUUGUAAACUGCUUUUAUAAGCGAGAAAUAUGAUGGUAACUUAUGAAUAAGGAUCGGCUAACUACGUGCCAGCAGCCGCGGUCAUACGUAGGAUCCGAGCAUUAUCCGGAGUGACUGUGUGUAAAGAGUUGCGUAGGUGGCAUAAUAAGUAGCUGGUGAAAUCUGGUGGCUCAACCAUUCAGACUAUUAGCUAAACUGUUAAGCUCGAGACCGUUAGGGGUAACUGGAAUUUCUAGUGUAGGAGUGAAAUGCGUAGAUAUUAGAAGGAACACCAAUAGCGUAGGCAGGUUACUGGGACGGUUCUGACACUAAGGCACGAAAGCGUAGGGAGCAAACGGGAUUAGAUACCCUAGUAGUC